rnacentral:rRNA from 1 species
UACGAAGGUGGCAAGCGUUACUCGGAAUUACUAGGCGUAAAGGGCAGGUAGGUGGUUUGGUAAGUCUGUUGUGAAAGCUCCUGGCUUAACUGGGAGAGGUCAACAGAAACUACUGAACUGGAGUAUAGGAGAGGGUACUGGAAUUCCCGGUGUAGCGGUGAAAUGCGCAGAGAUCGGGAGGAACACCUAUGGCGAAAGCAGGUACCUGGACUAUUACUGACACUCAGCUGCGAAAGCUAGGGGAGCAAACAGG